AUUGAACGCUGGCGGCAUGCCUUACACAUGCAAGUCGAACGGCAGCACGGGUGCUUGCACCUGGUGGCGAGUGGCGAACGGGUGAGUAAUACAUCGGAACAUGUCCUGUAGUGGGGGAUAGCCCGGCGAAAGCCGGAUUAAUACCGCAUACGAUCUACGGAUGAAAGCGGGGGACCUUCGGGCCUCGCGCUAUAGGGUUGGCCGAUGGCUGAUUAGCUAGUUGGUGGGGUAAAGGCCUACCAAGGCGACGAUCAGUAGCUGGUCUGAGAGGACGACCAGCCACACUGGGACUGAGACACGGCCCAGACUCCUACGGGAGGCAGCAGUGGGGAAUUUUGGACAAUGGGCGAAAGCCUGAUCCAGCAAAGCCGCGUGUGUGAAGAAGGCCUUCGGGUUGUAAAGCACUUUUGUCCGGAAAGAAAUCCUUGGCCCUAAUACGGUCGGGGGAUGACGGUACCGGAAGAAUAAGCACCGGCUAACUACGUG
rnacentral:rRNA from 1 species